UCCACUGCGCACGUAGGAGAUUUGAGAGGAGUCGCUCUUAGUACGAGAGGACCGGAGCGAACCGACCUCUGGUGUACCAGUUGUUCCGCCAGGAGCAUACGCUGGGUAGCCACGUCGGGAAGGGAUAAGCGCUGAAAGCAUCUAAGCGCCAAGCCCACCUCAAGAUGAGAUCUCCCUUCGAAAGAGUAAGGCCCCUUCGAGACUAGGAGGUUGAUAGGUCGCAUGUGUAAGCGCAGCAAUGCGUUGAGCUGAGCGAUACUAAUUGGUCGAGCGGUUAGAAA
rnacentral:rRNA from 1 species